GAAAGGGGUGAGGGCCGUAGCAGCCAUACUUGGGGGUGCUAUGCUAGCAAUCUUUCUUGUCAAAGCGGCAGGUAUUUCCUGUAAGUUCCACUUUUCAGGAAAUACCUUCGAUAAUAUAUAUUUCAGGUGUCGCUACCCGAAAGAAAAAGAAAAAGAAAUAUAUUAUUAUAAGAUUGAAUCGCCAAGGAAUAAAUAUAAGCAAUCAGUCUUUGAAUUAUUGAAAAAUGCCAUC
rnacentral:misc_RNA from 1 species